rnacentral:rRNA from 1 species
GACGAACGCUGGCGGCGUGCUUAACACAUGCAAGUCGAACGGAAAGGCCCCUUUUGGGGUACUCGAGUGGCGAACGGGUGCGUAACACGUGAGUAACCUGCCCUUGCCUUCGGGAUAACUUCAUGAAACUGGGUCUAAUACCGGAUAGGAAUCCUUGCUUCAUGGUGGGGGUUGGAAAGCUUCGGCGGUUUUGGAUGGACUCGCGGCUUAUCAGCUUGUUGGUGGGGGAGUGGCUUACCAAGGCUUUGACGGGUAGCCGGCCUGAGAGGGCGACCGGCCAAAGUGGGACUGAGAGAAGGCCCAGACUCCGACGGGAGGCAGCAGUGGGGAAGAUUGCACAAUGGGCGGAAGCCGGAUGCAGCAACGCCGCGGGCGGGAUGACGGCCUUCGGGUUGGAAAACGCUUUCAGCAGGGGCGAAGCUUGUGGUGACGGUACCUGCAGAAGAAGCACCGGCUAACUACGUG